rnacentral:rRNA from 1 species
AUUGAACGCUGGCGGCAUGCCUAACACAUGCAAGUCGAACGGUAACAGGCCGCUGGGAUCCCUUCGGGGUGACCUUGGCGCUGACGAGUGGCGGACGGGUGAGUAAUGCGUAGGAAUUUACCUCAAAGCGGGGGAUAGCCCGGAGAAAUCCGGAUUAAUACCGCAUGUGCUCUACGGAGGAAAGCGGGCCUCUUCUUGAAAGCUCGCACUUUGAGAUAAGCCUACGUCGGAUUAGCUUGUUGGUAGGGUAAAAGCCUACCAAGGCGACGAUCCGUAGCUGGUUUGAGAGGAUGAUCAGCCACACUGGGACUGAGACACGGCCCAGACUCCUACGGGAGGCAGCAGUGGGGAAUAUUGGACAAUGGGCGCAAGCCUGAUCCAGCAAUGCCGCGUGAGUGAUGAAGGCCUUAGGGUUGUAAAGCUCUUUUACCCGGGAUGAUAAUGACAGUACCGGGAGAAUAAGCUCCGGCUAACUCCGUG